GUGUGUAUAUAAGUGUGUGUAUAUAAGUGUGUGUGUGUGUGUGUGUGUGUGUGUGUGUGUGUGCAGGACAGCUGGGAGAUCGUGGACGGCCUGCGUGGGGGGGCGGGGGAGGAGGGGGUGCAGGAGCCCCUGAGGCAGGAGGGGUACGUGCUGAAGAAGAGGAAGUGGCCUAUGAAGGGAUGGCACAAGAGGUACUUCCUCCUGGACAAGGGCAUCCUGAAGUACAGCAAGUGUGCUGCUGAUGUGAGUAGAAAAGACAUCUGUCUCUACACACACACACACACACACACAGAACACACUACACACACACACACACACACACACACACACACACACACACACACACACACACACACACACACCCACACACACACACACACACACACACACACACACACACAAAACACUACACACACAUACACAGACAGACACACAAACACACACACACACCCACACACACACCCACACACACACACACACACACACACACACACAACAGACACACACACACACACACACACAACACACUAAACACACACACACACACACUCAUAGUUGUCUGUUGUGUUUCAGAUGGAGAAAGGUAAACUGCACGGCUGCAUAGACGUGGGUCUGUCAGUGAUGGCAAUUAAGAAGAAAGCCAAGUGCAUUGAUCUGGACGCAGAGGAGAAUAUUUACCACUUAAAGGUACUGUCAAUCUCACUCCAUCUACAGUGUGUGUGUGUGUGUGUGUGUGUGUGUGUGUGUGUGUGUGUGUAUGUUAGUGUGUGUGUGUGUGUGUGUGUGUGUGUGAAGAGAAAAAGAUCAAAGGUCAUUUAAAGGUACUCAAAAUCCCCCUGCAUGCUCAGUGUGCCUGUGUGUGUAGGUCUGUGUAUGUGUGUGUGUGUGUGUGUGUAUGUAUAUGGUGUGUUUGUGUGUGUGUGUGACUGCAUGUGUGUGUGUAUGUAUAUGAUGUGUGUGUGUAUAUGAUGUGUGUGUGUGUGUAUAUGGCGUGUGUGUGUGUAUGUUGUGUGUGUAUGUAUAUGACGUGUGUGUGUGUAUGUGUGUGUGUAUAUGGUGUGUUUGUGUGUGUGUGUAUGUAUAUGAUGUGUGUGUGUGUGUAUAUGACGUGUGUGUGUGUAUAUGACGUGUGUGUAUAUGACGUCUGUGUAUGUAUAUGACGUGUAUGUGUGUGUAUGUGUGUGUGUGUGUAUUGUGGACUCCCAAUGUUUAGAUGACACGACAAGGGUGUUUACGGGAAGACAAG
rnacentral:lncRNA from 1 species